UGCGUAGGCGGGCUGGAAAGUCAGAGGUGAAAUCCCGGGGCUCAACCCCGGAACUGCCUUUGAAACUUCCAGUCUUGAGUCCGGAAGAGGUGAGUGGAAUUCCGAGUGUAGAGGUGAAAUUCGUAGAUAUUCGGAAGAACACCAGUGGCGAAGGCGGCUCACUGGUCCGGUACUGACGCUGAGGUACGAAAGCGUGGGGAGCAAACAGGAUUAGAUACCCUGGUAGUCC
rnacentral:rRNA from 1 species